AUUGAACGCUGGCGGAAUGCCUAACACAUGCAAGUCGAGCGGGGGUAGCAAUACUUCAGCGGCGGACGGGUGAGGAACACAUAGGAAUCUACCUUUAGGUGGGGGAUAGCCAGGGGAAAGUCUGGGUAAUACCGCAUGAUCUCGAGAGAGCAAAGGGGCGCAAGUCUCGCCUUUAGAGGAGCCUAUGUCUGAUUAGCUAGUUGGCGGUGUAAUGGACCACCAAGGCGAUGAUCAGUAACUGGUCUGAGAGGACGAUCAGUCACACCGGAACUGAGACACGGUCCGGACUCCUACGGGAGGCAGCAGUGGGGAAUAUUGGACAAUGGGCGAAAGCCUGAUCCAGCAAUUCUGCGUGUGUGAAGAAGGCCUUCGGGUUGUAAAGCACUUUUGUCCGGAAAGAAAUCCUUCAACUUAAUACGUUGGGGGGAUGACGGUACCGGAAGAAUAAGCACCGGCUAACUUCGUGCCAGCCGCCGCAGUAA
rnacentral:rRNA from 1 species